ensembl:snoRNA SNORA70 Small nucleolar RNA SNORA70
UUGCAGCCAGUUAAGCCGAUUGUGCUCUUUUCCCCAUAGGGGCCCAGUGUGCAGUGGCUGCAAAUAGCAGCCUCCUUGGUAGUGUAUGCAACCUGCUGCCUGUACAGGUUGCCCUAAGGGACCUUGGAGACAACU